UACGGAGGGUGCGAGCGUUGUCCGGAAUCACUGGGCGUAAAGGGCGCGUAGGCGGCCUGAUAAGUAGGGGGGUGAAAUCUUGCGGCUUAACCGCAAGGCUGCCUUCUAAACUGUCGGGCUCGAGCACAGUAGAGGCAGGUGGAAUUCCCGGUGUAGCGGUGGAAUGCGUAGAGAUCGGGAAGAACAUCAGUGGCGAAGGCGGCCUGCUGGGCUGUUGCUGGACGCUGAGGCGCGACAGCGUGGGGGAGCAAACAGG
rnacentral:rRNA from 1 species